GUGUUCCGAGAUGUGCAUGGUGGAGCGCCCCGAGUUCGAGGGUCGGGGCGUACAACUGAAGUGGGCGCUCCGAGCUCAGUCGGGACAGGUCAGCGAAUAUCCGAGGUUGGUGGAGCUUUUGGCGAAGUCUGAGGCCGAGCUGAUUCUGGAUCGGACCGAGGAUUCAACCGGUGGCCAAAACUAAUCGACCUUUUAGUCAUGUUCAACGUAACGGUCCGUGAUUAAUGGUCGUUUUGAAUGGGAUAGCAUUGCUAAAGUGGGUCCUCGGCCGGUGUCGUUAUAAAGACAUCCAUCUAUACUAGCAUUGCUAAAGUGGGUCCUCGGCCGGUGUCGUUAUAAAGACAUCCAUCUAUACUAGCAUAGUAGCAUUGCUAAAGUGGGUCCUCGGCCGGUGUCGUUAUAAAGACAUCUAUCUAUACGUGGACGGUCUGUGACUAUAGAUCACGGAAAGUAUUGCUGUCCAGGUAAGGCUUCGUGGAAACGUACGCCAAAAGUGCCUUUCACGAAUCACGACUCGUGUAACACUGGGAACCUCCGGUGAUCCUUCCUAGCUGAAGCGGACAUGACAGGUCAAUAACAUUUACACGUCUCAAUGUUCUAGAGGUUUGAUGAUUGUUCAUCAGCUUGCAUUGCACAACAAAUGCGGUGUGCAUCUGCCACAUACAGAGUGUCAUACGGUUCUUAAUAGUCGCCAUCAUUGAAUGGACAUUCAUCAACGGUCCACAAACCUGUAUCGUAUCAUAUACGGCACUAUAUUAUUUGAUAGCUAUCCAUCUCUCAACGACGGUCAUAGGAGGUUACAUAAUAUUAUAUGGCAUGACUUUUGCACCGUUUAGAAUAUUUCAAGGCCAAU
rnacentral:lncRNA from 1 species